rnacentral:piRNA from 2 species
UGUGGAUGUAAAUAUAGAUUUGGUGUUU